rnacentral:tRNA from 93 species
UAGCUCAGUUGGUAGAGCAGUUGACUUUUAAUCAAUUGGUCGCAGGUUCGAAUCCUGCACGACCCACCA